UGAAGGUUGUGGUGAGCCCUCUGCUUAAGAACAAAAACUGUGGAAUCAGACCUGCCUUUAGGACUUCCCACUUCUGACUGUACAUCCCAAGAGUGAUUUACUCUCUCUGAGUCUCCAUUUCUUUAUUUAAAGAAUGGAAGAAGUAAUCUCAACUUCAAAUAGCUGUUCUAAGAAAUAAGAUGGCAUCUAUAAAGCACACGGCCUAGUUCUUGGCACAUGGUGAUAUGGGGUCUUAACUCCCCAACCAGGGAUCAAACCCAUGCCCCUGCAUUGGGAGUGUGAAGUCCUAACCACUGGACCACCAGGGAAUUCCCCUUCCAGGUAUUUUUAAAUAAUACAUUUCAGAUAGAAUCCCUUUCAGUAAUGACUUCACUUUUCCACUCUCUGCUCCCAAGAUGUAGCCAAUAUCAAGAUCCAGCUUUUACAGAUUUGAAUAUAAAUAUGUGUCUAUAAAACUGAGGAAUAAAUUUGUGUUUUUGAAAUCUACCCAUCUUGAUAUAUGUCGAUCUAGUUUAAACUUUUUAACUACCAUGUAAUAUUACGUCAGAUGAGUCUAUAUCACCUUUUACUUAUACAUAUCUUUUUUAAUGGACAGUCAGGUGGAAACCAUUUUUUCAGUAAUAUAAACACUGCUAUAAUAACCAUGCUUGCAUAUGCUCCUUGUACACAUGUCUGACUUUCUUUAGGAUCUAUAGAAGAAAUUCAGUGACCAGGUACUAGAAGGUGCUUUUUUAACUAAAAUGGCCAAACUGCUGGACCAUCCCACAACACAGUAUGAUUUACAAUCCCACAGCUUUACCAGAUCAUAAGACUGAAAUUAUCAUCACAUGAUAGGUGUGAAAUAGUUUCUUUUUUAACAACUUGUGUUCACCUGAUUACUCCUGAGAUCAUGCAUCCUUUUGAAUGUUUAUUGGUCAUUUCUGAAUUGACUUUUUCCUGUGUGUUCCUCAUCACACAGAUUUUAAAUUUUGAUAAGGAUAUUGGGCAAUAUUUUCUAUAUAGAACUUAGUAUGUCUUGUUUAAGAAGCAGGGCACCCAAAGCUGGUGCUCUGGGACAACCCAGAGGCAUAGG
ensembl:lncRNA